rnacentral:rRNA from 1 species
GACGUAGGGCGCGAGCGUGUCCGGAUUUAUUGGGCGUAAAGAGCUCGUAGGUGGUUUGUCGCGUUGUUCGUGAAAACUCACAGCUCAACUGUGGGCGUGCGGGCGAUACGGGCAGACUAGAGUACUGCAGGGGAGACUGGAAUUCCUGGUGUAGCGGUGGAAUGCGCAGAUAUCAGGAGGAACACCGGUGGCGAAGGCGGGUCUCUGGGCCGAUACUGACGCUGGAGGAGCGAAAGCGUGGGGAGCGAACAGG